GACGAACGCUGGCGGCGUGCCUAAUACAUGCAAGUUGAGCGCUGAAGGUUGGUACUUGUACCAACUGGAUGAGCAGCGAACGGGUGAGUAACGCGUGGGGAAUCUGCCUUUGAGCGGGGGACAACAUUUGGAAACGAAUGCUAAUACCGCAUAAAAACUUUAAACACAAGUUUUAAGUUUGAAAGAUGCAAUUGCAUCACUCAAAGAUGAUCCCGCGUUGUAUUAGCUAGUUGGUGAGGUAAAGGCUCACCAAGGCGAUGAUACAUAGCCGACCUGAGAGGGGGAUCGGCCACAUUGGGACUGAGACACGGCCCAAACUCCUACGGGAGGCAGCAGUAGGGAAUCUUCGGCAAUGGACGAAAGUCUGACCGAGCAACGCCGCGUGAGUGAAGAAGGUUUUCGGAUCGUAAAACUCUGUUGGUAGAGAAGAACGUUGGUGAGAGUGGAAAGCUCAGCAAGUGACGGUAACUACCCAGAAAGGUACGGCUAACUACGUG
rnacentral:rRNA from 1 species